GCCACUUCUUCCAUAUCCUUGAGUUUAGCGACUUCCUGUUUUAUCUGAUCCACCCUGUUUAAGACAGCAUUCAGCAAGACCUCCUUGUUGGUACUGGACGUGCCGCAUAUCCAUUCAGACCUUUCCCUUUCAAGUUGCUGAUAGAGAUUAUGAAGAUACUCCUUUUGAGCAUAAAGUUGUUCCUCUGCAAUUUUGUAUUCAGAUGCCUGAGACUUUUGUAGUUCAUGGAGAGCCUUAUCAAUCUCAUCCUCCAGUUUUAGAACUUCAGCCCGGUAAUCAGAAGACAUAGAUAAAGUAUCAGGCAAUUUUAUAAUAGUGUCUAAUUCUUGAUUAUUAGUAACUUCCACCAUCACAUCAGGAGAGACACCUGUGGAAAUAGCUGAGACAUCCUCUUUGGCUUUCCAUAUAUCCUCAAGAAUGGUCCCGCAUUUAAGCUUUGCAAUGGC
rnacentral:misc_RNA from 1 species